GGCUGAAGUUCAGGAAGUAGUGCAGCUGGGCAUAAAGCCUAUUGCAUUUUUUUUUUAAAGUGGAGAAGGCAUUUAUUUUCUAAAAUUCGAGAAAAUCCUCCGCUACACCUUUAAGUGGAACAUUUAUAUAGCAUGCUGCUUAUAGAUAGUGAGGAAGAUAAUCUAAUUGAUCUACCAUGCAUAUCCUUCAAAUAACUUAACAGAACAACUGAACAUGUAUAAUAUGUAAUUUAAUAUGUACAUCAUUAAUACUAAUUGUAAAUAAUAUUUAAUAUUUGUGAAAUUAUAUACUUGUGAAUUCAUUAUAUUUGCAAUGUUUAUACAUUACCUGUUUUUAGGUAAACAGAUUAUCCAUCAGUGGAUGUCAUGCAAAAACUAGCCUCAAGGUCGGCUCUGUAGAUACUGUAAUCUGCAUGUUUCCGAGCACACGUUUACCAGGACACACUAAUAUUAAACAGAAAAACAACAUAAAUCAGUAUUAAACACAAACAAAUUUAGGUAAAUUAAAUAAGGUUUUCAUUUUCAAUUAAUAUAAAAGAAAUAAACGCAAUAAAAAAACAAUGUCAGUGACGUAAUAAAUAUGUGUAAAUUUACACGCAUCAUUUAUUAAGCAUUAUAAAAAAAAUCCAGCAAUAUUAUUAAACUUUGGUUAUUUGUUAUUAUCCCUGCAUUCAAAUUGCAGGUUGGAGCAGGAAGUUGACCCUUAUUCUGUCGCGCAAGCGCCAGCUGGUCGCGAGGCCAUUCGUACGUCACGUGACCGCCAUUUUCAUCAUAUGACCGUUAUUCCCUCAGGCACCCUUCAACAUUUUCUUCGCAUUUAACAUCAUUAUUUACAUGUAAAUAAUAUAAUUAGUAAACAUAACGUUUAUGUUCAUUUAUAAUAUGUUUUUUUUUUUAAUUGUCGGCUUUAAGUUAAUUUGUCUGUCAGUUUUUUUUUUGUUGUUUGCUACAGUAGCCUGUUAACAAUAGACCAAAGGUAUGAUGAUCAAUUAUAAAUGCAAUAUGGUUGAAAGGUCAGUAAACAAACAACAAAAAGGUAAUUUCUUAAUAGAAUGUCUAUAAAUUUUUUGCUUUUGUUACAUAGUUCAUACAUCAAAAUCCUUAAACGUUAAUAAUUAUGUAUUUCAACUUGUUGCAGCUUGACAAAAAUGUAGUUUGAAGGAGAAGGGACAGCUGAGUAACAAAGUCCUGGUACGCAGACGACGAUACUAUUACACUGACAAGAGUGUAAUGAUGAUGGAGACACAAGCCAGAGAACGGGGGGACCAAACACCAGGCCAGAAUUCUGCAUGAGUCAGAUCCAGUGGGUGCAGAUCAUCAUACAGAUGGUUCAAGUGUGGAUCCACCUGAUAUUCAAGAUUUUCUCUCCUGAGACCCUCAGCUGACCAUCAAGAAAGAACACACUCCAGGGGGCAUCCUUUUUCCAGACCCUCAUACAGAUGGUUGGAGUUUUGAUUCACCUAAAGUACCAUGCAAGAGCACUCAUUUUCACUCGUGAGACCAUGGUGUGACCUGCAAGGUCGAAUGGAGACUGUAAACAAGACAAUGUUGGAGUCACCUGCAUUCACUGGUCCAGUUGUUAGUCCAAUUACAGAUGGAGAUUAUAGAAGAGGAUGAUGUCUUUUCUCCAACAUCUUUCUAGACUGAUAAAAGAUCUAGACAGGCUCGAACAAAAGUUAACAGAGGGGCUUAUAUAGAGAAUGGUGAGCAGCUACACAUAAAAUAAGAACAUGGAGAAUCUGCCCAGAGGUGUUAACCAGCAAUGCAGCUAUACAACUAAAUUGAUGCAGGCGGAAACACAAGCGAGG